rnacentral:rRNA from 1 species
UAUUGAUUUUUAUAAUAGGUGUUUUCUGCCCGGUGUUGAUUUAUAAACGGCCGCGGUAUCUUGACCGUGCGAAGGUAGCAUAAUCAUUUGCUCUUUAAUUGGGGGCUUGUAUGAAGGAAAGUUUGAGAUUUUUUCUGUCUUUUUCUAAAGUUAGAAUUUGCUGUUCUUGUGAAGAAGCAAGAUUUUGUUAAAAAGACAAGAAGACCCUUUUAAGCUUAAUUCUUUGUUAGUGUCAAUUUUUUUCUUUUCUGUUGUUUAAGAUAUUUUUUUAUAUUUAUUAGGUUUUGGUUGGGGCGACUAAAGAAGAUUAAAUCUUCUUUUUUUUCUUAGGUUUUAAACCGAAUGGUGACCCAAAUUUUUUUGGUUGCAAAAAUUAGUUACUAAAGGGAUAACAGCGUAAUCUUUUCAGAGAGUUCUUAUCGAAGAAAAGGAUUGCGACCUCGAUGUUGACUUAUUAUAUCCUUAUAAGGAGUAGAAGUUGUAAGGGUUGGUCUGUUCGACCAUUAAAAUAAUACGUGAGUUGAGUUCAGACCGGUGUGA